GAGAAAGUGACUUAUAAAUGGAGGGUAUACAUUUUCGGAGAGGAGCAUCAAAUUGAUGGAAAGAUAGUGAAGAGUGAUUUAAGUCCCCAGCUGAAACAUCAAUUUGGCGAUAAAAUUUUACAUUUGACUAUCGAAAUUAGAGAGAAAGUUUACAGGGAGUCCAUCAUUAUGAUAUGGAUGCAACAAGAAAGAAAGAACAUUAAGUAAAACUCACCAGAAAUCUUUAAUUUUUGGCAGAGUCCAUGGAAACAUGCCUUCGAUUUGUUUGUGUCACGAGUGGUUCUCUCUGCUAACUCUAAGGGAACAACACAUAGUACUGUUUGGCCACAGAAGAGUUAGAUAUGUUGACACAUUACUAGAAUUUGAAUCAUAGUCCAGAUGUUGACACAUUAUUAGUAAUGUCUGUAGAUGCAGAAUGUUUCUAAAAACUUCGAGCACUCUCCCUUUCUUGCUUUUUGAUUAUUUCGUUUGGGUGAAAAUUUGAGUCAAUAUUUUAUGUAGUCUACCUUAUCAAUGAUUUUGCAAAUGCUUGAGUGAAUA